GCUGGGCAUGGUGGCGCAUGCCUGUAAUCCCAGCUACUCGGGAGGCUGAGGCAGAAGAAUCCCUUAAACCCAGGAGGUGGAGGUUGCAGUGAGCCAAGAUUUUGCCACUGCAUUCUAGCCUGGGUAACAGAGUGAGACUCCAUCUCAA
rnacentral:SRP_RNA from 1 species